rnacentral:rRNA from 1 species
AUACGGAGGGUGCAAGCGUUAUCCGGAAUCACUGGGUUUAAAGGGUGCGUAGGCGGCUUGGUAAGUCAGGGGUGAAAGUCUGCCGCUCAACGGUAGAAUUGCCUUUGAUACUGCCAGGCUUGAAUAAGCGCGAGGCAGGCGGAAUGUGGCAUGUAGCGGUGAAAUGCAUAGAUAUGCCAUAGAACACCAAUUGCGUAGGCAGCUUGCCAGAGCUUUAUUGACGCUGAGGCACGAAAGCGUGGGGAGCGAACAGGAUUAGAAACCCGGGUAGUCC